rnacentral:rRNA from 1 species
UACAGAGGGGGCUAGCGUUGUUCGGAAUCACUGGGCGUAAAGGGUGCGUAGGCUGUCCGUUAAGUCUGAUGUGAAAGCCCUGGGCUCAACUCAGGAAUUGCAUUGGAAACUGGCGGACUCAGAGUACCGGAGAGGGAAGCGGAAUUCCUGGUGUAGCGGUGAAAUGCGUAGAUACCAGGAGGAACACCGGUGGCGAAAGCGGUUUCCUGGCCGAGUACUGACGCUGAGGCACGAAAGCGUGGGGAGCGAACGGG